rfam:Eubacterium sp. CAG:841 genomic scaffold, scf88
UGAUGUGCGAUGAAGCGGGAGGUUGCCGUGUUUUCACGGGUAAUUUCCGCAGAGUAUGUCCGACAUUGAACCGGGCGA